rnacentral:rRNA from 1 species
ACGCUCCGAACAGCCACAACAGCCCGCUGGCUCGCACGGGGUGCUCUUCAUCGAGUGUCCCGCGUGGCCGGCAGAGUUUACUUUGAAAAAAUUAGAGUGCUCAAAGCAGGCUACACUGACGGCCUGAAUGCCUAUGCAUGGAAUAAUGGAAUAGGACCUCGGUUCUAUUUUGUCGGUUUUCUGAACCCGAGGUAAUGACUAAUAGGAACAGGCGGGGGCAUUCGUAUUGCGACGCUAGAGGUGAAAUUCUUGGACCGUCGCAAGACGAACUACUGCGAAAGCAUUUGCCAAGGAUGUUUUCAUUAAUCAAGAACGAAAGUUAGAGGUUCGAAGGCGAUCAGAUACCGCCCUAGUUCUAACCAUAAACGAUGCUGACCAGCGAUCCGCCGGCGUUAUUCCCAUGACCCGGCGGGCAGCUUCCGGGAAACCAAAGUCUUUGGGUUCCGGGGGAAGUAUGGUUGCAAAGCUGAAACUUAAAGGAAUUGACGGAAGGGCACCACCAGGAGUGGAGCCUGCGGCUUAAUUUGACUCAACACGGGGGAACCUCACCAGGCCCAGACACCGGAAGGAUUGACAGAUUGAGAGCUCUUUCUCGAUUCGGUGGGUGGUGGUGC